AAAAAAAAUACACACUGUAUGAUUCCAAUUAUAUGAAGUUUUAUAACAGGGAACACUAAUUAGAAUAGUAGUUGUCUCUGGUGGGGUGGGAAUGGGAAUUGACUAGGAAGGGGCAUAAGGCAACUUUCUUUCUUUUCUUUUCUUUUUUUUUUUUUGAGACAGAAUCUCACUCUGUCGCCAGGCUGGAGUACAGCGGCAGAAUCUCAGCUCACUGCAAUCUUUGACUCCCUGGUUCAAGCGCUUCUCCUGCCUGAGCCUCCCUAGUAGCUGGGAUUAUGGGCACAUGCCACCAUGCCCAGCUAAUUUUUGUAUUUUUAGUAGAGACGGGGUUUCACCAUAUUGGCCAGGAUGGUCUCGAACUCCUGACCUCGUGAUCUGCCUGCCUCAGCCUCCCAAACUACUGGGAUUACAGGCAUGAGCCACUGUACCCAGCCACAUGAGGCAACUUUCUAGGAUGAUGGUAAUGUUAUGUAUUUGGAUAGGGGUUUCAGUUACAGAUGUAUACGUCUUUGUCAACACUCAGCAAAUAUACACUUAAAGUUUGUGCAUUUUAUGUACUUUUAACUCAAAAAAUAUAUAAAACAAACGUGGAGCUCUAGUUAAUGAUAUGCAUGUUGAAAUGUUUACGGGUGAAGUGUACUGAUUUCAGCAAUUUUUUUUACAUGCACCCAAAAACAAAGUGUACUGGUAGAGUAACUGAUAGUUACAUGAUAAAGCAGAUACACUAAAUGUUAGUGAUAGAAUCUAGGUGGUGAGUAUAUGGGUAUUCUCUGUAAAAGUCCUUCAACUUUACUGUGUCUUUCAAAACUUUUAAAAUGAAUGGUGGCUGGGUGCAGUGGCUCACACCUGUACUCCUAGCACUUUGGGAGUCUGAGGCAGGUGGAUCGCCUAAGGUCAGGAGUUUGAGACCAGCCUGGCCAACAUUGUGAAACUCCAUCUCUACUAAAAAUACAAAAAUUAGCUGGGCAUGGUAGCUCAUGCCUGUAAUCCCAGCUACUCUGGGAGGCUGAGGCCCGAGAAUCGCUUGAACCUGGGAAGUGAAGGUUGUAGUGAGCCAAGAUCGCACCAUUGCACUCCAGCCUGGGCAAUGGAGUGAGACUUCAUCUCAAAAGAAAAAAAAAAGCAAAACCACUAUUGAGAAUGAAAAGACACUCCACAGAAUGGGAGAAAAUAUUUGUAAAUCAUGUGUCUAAUAAGGGAUUAAUAUUCAGAAUUUAUAAAUAACUCCGGUAACUCAACAACCACUAAAAAAUAAAAACCCAAUUUAAAAGCAGGCAAAGAGGCUGGGCACGGUGGCUCACACUGUCAUCCCAGCACUUUGGGAGGCCAAGACAGGCAGAUCACUUGAGGCCAGAAAUUCGAGACCAGCCUAGCCAACAGAGAUGAUGAAACUCCAUUUCUGCUAAAAAUACAAAAAUUAGCCGGCAUUGUGGCACAGACCUGUAAUCCCAGCUACUCAGGAGGCUAAGGCAUGAAAAUCACUUGAGCCUGGGAGGUGGAGGGUGCAGUGAGCCAAAAUGGCACCACAGCAUUCCAACCUGGGCAACAGAGCAAGACACCACUCAAAAAAAGAAUUAAAAAAAAAAAAGAUGAAAGCAGGCAUAGGAUUUAUAUAGACAUUUCUCCAAAGAAGAUAUACAGAUGAGCUGGGCGUGGUGACUCACGCCUGUAAUCCCAGCACUUUGGGAGGCUGAGGCAGGUGAAUCACCUGAGAUCAGGAGUUCAAGACCAGCCUGGCCAACAUGGUGAAACCCCAUCUCUACUAAAAAUACAAAAAAAAAAAAAAAUUAGCCGGGCGUGGUGGCGCACGCCUGUAAUCCUAGCUACUUGGGAGGCUGAGGCAGGAGAAUUGCUUGAACCUAGGAGACAGAGGUUGCAGUGAGCCGAGAUCUUGCCGUUGCACUCCAGCCUGGGCAACAGAGUAAGACUCUAUCUCAAAAAUAAUAAAUGAAUAAACACACAAACAAACAAAUAAUAAAUAAUUAUCACUUUUUUGCAUUUUCCCAAUUUCUUUACUGAUUAUUUUUGGGAUUUGGAAAAAACAUAAGGCCGGGCGUGCACCCUGUGCCCGGUC
rnacentral:lncRNA from 1 species